rnacentral:lncRNA from 10 species
ACAGGUUGCCCCAUAGUGACCCUGGAGACUCCCGCCUGCCCCCAGUGAAGGAAUUGGUUACUCUCCCAGAGCCCUCCCGGGCAUCGCCCCCUUCCUCACUUCCUCCUCUUCCUGCCCCCAGCCUCUACCCCUCCAGCCUCCUGUGGCUUCACAGGCAAGUGCCGCAUCCCAGGAAGAAGGAGUUGGAGCUCCGUGAUGCCAUUCAAAAACAGAUGAGAUGGGGACAGAUUUAACCCAAAGGACAUAGUUCAACUCCUGGUCUUGACAGAGGAGAAGCCCUCAAAGCCUCUCUCAAUUGCCUUCUCAGCUUGUAUGCUUUGAAGAAGCAAGCUGCAGUGUUGGAGAGGCCCAUGUGGCAAGGAAAUGAGGGUGGCCUCCAGUCAAUGGCUGGUGAGAAACUGAGACCUUCCUUCCAACAAUUGUCAAGUAACUGAAUACUCCCAACAAUCAUAUGGGUUAGGUUAGAAGUGAACCUUUCUCUAGUUGAGGUUUCAGAUAAGACCACAGAUAUUAUACUAA